rnacentral:lncRNA from 1 species
GAGCAUCAUAAUAUAAGGGGAAGAGUCAUUUGGUGAGUUUUGAGUGAAAUCCAAUCUCUCAAACUAUGCAAUACACAGACCACGCCAUUUCAGAACGAACUUCUUACAAACUUGAAUUGCCCAAUUUCAUGGAGUAAUCAAUAUCGGAUUGAGUCCAAAACUUGGGGGACAUCAUAAUAUGGUGGGAGGAGUCAUUUGGUGCUCUUUGAGUGAAAUCCAAUAUCAAAAACUAAGCAAUACACGUACCACCCCAUUUCAUAACCAAUUUCGUACGAAGUUGAAUUGUCCAAUUGCGGUCGACGAAUUGAUAUCGGAUUGAGUCCAAAACUUGGGGAACAUCGUAAUAUGGUGGGAUGAGUCAUUUAGUGAGUUUGGAGUGAAAUCUAAUCUCUAAAACUAUGCAAUACACCAACCAUUCC